GGCUAUGAGGGCAACAGAGUCUUUGGACUGAUCUGGCUAGCAAGGUAGGUGCUCCAUUCUUCCCCCAUUGCUCCGUGCGAAUCCCUCCCAAAGCUACACGUUUCAUCACCUGGGCUAACCUUUCCCCAUAGAGGAGGGCUAUCUUAGGUCAAGGGUAAUCAAGCAGCUGUGCACCCCUAAUGGAACAUCCUCAAAGCUUUUGUCCAAAAGAUGGAAGCAAGUCAUUCUUAUCAACCAUCAAGUGAAUAUAU
rnacentral:snRNA from 1 species